GUACUCGCUUCGGCAGCACAUAUACUAAAAUUAAACAGAACGUUAGCACAAUCCCUGUGAAAGGAUGACAUACAAAUUCAUGAAGCAUUCCAUAUUAAA
rnacentral:snRNA from 1 species